rnacentral:rRNA from 1 species
UCGGGAUUGCGGGGUGCCUAUACAUGCAGUCGAGCGGACAGAUGGGAGCUUGCUCCCUGAUGUUAGCGGCGGACGGGUGAGUAACACGUGGGUAACCUGCCUGUAAGACUGGGAUAACUCCGGGAAACCGGGGCUAAUACCGGAUGCUUGAUUGAACCGCAUGGUUCAAUUAUAAAAGGUGGCUUUUAGCUACCACUUACAGAUGGACCCGCGGCGCAUUAGCUAGUUGGUGAGGUAACGGCUCACCAAGGCAACGAUGCGUAGCCGACCUGAGAGGGUGAUCGGCCACACUGGGACUGAGACACGGCCCAGACUCCUACGGGAGGCAGCAGUAGGGAAUCUUCCGCAAUGGACGAAAGUCUGACGGAGCAACGCCGCGUGAGUGAUGAAGGUUUUCGGAUCGUAAAACUCUGUUGUUAGGGAAGAACAAGUACCGUUCGAAUAGGGCGGUACCUUGACGGUACCUAACCAGAAAGCCACGGCUAACUACGUGCCAGCAGCCGCGGUAAUACGUAGGUGGCAAGCGUUGUCCGGAAUUAUUGGGCGUAAAGCGCGCGCAGGCGGUUUCUUAAGUCUGAUGUGAAAGCCCCCGGCUCAACCGGGGAGGGUCAUUGGAAACUGGGGAACUUGAGUGCAGAAGAGGAGAGUGGAAUUCCACGUGUAGCGGUGAAAUGCGUAGAGAUGUGGAGGAACACCAGUGGCGAAGGCGACUCUCUGGUCUGUAACUGACGCUGAGGCGCGAAAAGCGUGGGGAGCGAACAGGAUUAGAUACCCCUGGGUAGUCCACGCCGUAAAACGAUGAGUGCUAAGUGUUAGGAGGGUUUCCCGCCCCUUUAGUGCUGCAGCAAACGCAUUAAAGCACUCCCGCCCUGGGGGAAGUACGGUCGCAAGACUGAAACUCAAAGGAAUUUGACGGGGGCCCGCACAAGCGGUGGGAGCAUGUGGUUUAAAUUCGAAAGCAACGCGAAGAAACCUUA